UAAGCUGAAGCCGCCUCCGAUAAAUGCCCGAACCGCCAGCCGGUUCUACUCUAUAUUGAAGACUUAAGGCAUCUAUAUUGCCGCCCGCUUGUUGAACCGGUUUCUUGCUUGAUGCAAGUUGUGUUGUCACCUGGUUAUUAUGCUGCUGCUGUACCAGCAUAUCAGUAUGGUUUGUCUAAAGAUGUUGCCGACUAAAUAAAAAUCCGUAUCGUUUGGCUAUGACUCUCAUUUUGGUCCCAACUUUCGUUUCCUUCCGUUGUCGUGAUUGUGGAUGCUUGUUUGGUUGUUCGUCUGAUGAGCCUAAUGUGCUGCACGCUGGUCGCUGAUGUGUGGUCCGUGUCGUCUUGGCGGACCCGUAGUCGGCAGAAGCAUCCGGCACGAACCAAAUCUGUAGCUCGUCAGACAAGGACGAGUCGUCUGACACCACACCGCUUAGGCCUUCCACUAUGUGGGCUAAAAGAGGUGUCAAAACCAGUUUUCCCUCAUUUGGCACCGAUGCCUUCCAUAGCCUAGCCGGUGCCAUAAAAAUAUUCCAGGGAACCGGAGCAAGUGGCUGCUCCGGUGCCCACUUCAAGCACUACAAUAAAAUAUAUUAAAGUAUAACUGCCAUCUCUAGAGAAGCAUUCCUACCCAAACCACCACCGAGCAACAUCAUUCAAUCCAUACCAAACAGCAUUCAAGUUACAGCAAACCAGAGCACCCAAAUUUUCAGAUGACCGUUGCACUGCAAUAGAAAAAUCUGUCCGUUUGGAGAAUAUGUCUAUAAAAUAUACAGAACAAGCUCGUAGAAGCACAAGAAGAUCUUGGAAAAACUCUCCCCCAAAACAUGAAGCACUCAUCUUCAAGCAUGAUGAACUCCUCCUUCCCACCUUCAGAUGCACAGAGCCCAAAUAACCUACAAAAUCCACAGAGCCCAGUUAGUUUGCAGUACAAUUCUAGUUUCCAUCCCCAUUUCUAGUUUCCAUCCCCAUCAUCCACAUAUGAAUUAUCUACCCACACAAUAUAUUCCCAGUUUCCAGCAUCAACACCCACACCAUGCAAAUUUAUAUGCUCAAGGAGGUUACCAGCAAGUUCCAUCCAUACCUCCAGGCUACCAUGGUGUUGCUUCCCAAGGUAACAUGGGGCAGUACCCUCCAGGAGCAUUUGGAGCAGGCUCAAGUAGCAGUCCAGCUUCUCCUGCUGAUGCAUACCUUUUCUUGGAUCUGCUAGAGGCACUAGUUCAAGAGGAGAUGAGAACAGUCCAGUUGGAUUUAGUUCUCCCAUGUCACCUGCAUAUCAAGUGGAUGAAGAUCCGACUGUCAAUAAUCAAGAUGGCAGUGAUAGUAGUCCUGAUGAGAUUCAGAAAAAAGGAAAAGGCAAGAACUGGAGUAAGCGUGAGGAUGAACUUCUCAUAGCAGCUUGGGUGCACAAUUCAUGUGAUCCGAUUGAUGGAAACUCCAAAAGGGCAGAGACCUAUUGGAAGGAAGUCGCAGCAGAGUACAACAAAUAUGCAACGAAAGAGCAGAAGAAAACAGUUGGGCAAUGCAAGAACCACUGGACCAAGACCACAAAGAAGGUUACAAAGUUCAAUGGUAUCUACAAUGUUGAAAAAAGUACAUGGCCUAGUGGGAGCGAUGACAAGCAACUUAUGGAGAGGGUACGUGCCAAAUACAUGAGUGUUGCCAAGACAAAAAGACCCUUUCCAUAUGAGCACUGGUGGGAGUACGUGAGGAAAGAGGCUAAAUGGAGAAGGUCUUAUUCAGUUGAAGAGAUGAACAAAAGAAACAAGUUGAAUGCAUCAGGAGCUUAUAGUUCUCCAACCCAGGCAAUAGAUGAGGAAGGUGAACUUCAACGGCCCCCGAGACGCAACACUUCAAAAGACGCAAAAGAUAAACAGAAGUCAUCAAGCAAGUCUAAAUGCUCUGGAAGCUUGACAAGUGAGAGUGUGGACAAAUUUAAUGAGAUUCAACUAAGAAAAUCAAUUGCUGCAGAGAAAAUGGCCGACGCCACCCUUAUUCAAGCACAAGCCACAAAAGUUCAAGCAGAAGCUGAGAAAGAAAGAGUUGAAACUGAGAAGGAGAAGAUAAAGGUGGACAAACUGAGCAAAUACCUUGAUCUUCUUCACAAAGAUACUUCAGCUUAUGAUGAUGCCCAAAAGAAAAGACAUGAACAAGUUCACUUUGAAGUCAAUCACAAUAAGUAUAACUUGGGAUACUACCUAGUAGAUGGCAUUUAUCCGGAAUGGGCGACAUUUGUGAAAUCAUCUAUAAGUUCUACAUGAAUUCAUCUUACUAAUUUCUACCCCUUUCUACUUUAGUUUUCCAGUCGAGCAUCUUCUUUGUAAUUGUGUAAUUUAGUUUACAAAUUGUGGAAUGAGAACAUUUUAUUAUUAUUUCUUGCUGCUAAAUUUUAUUAUUUCUUGCUGCUAAAUGCAAUGUUGAACACUACCUUCAAUUUUUAAGAACAGGAAACUAGCAUCACUGACAUUAUUAACUAGUACUACACUACAUGCAAGUAUAGCACGUCCUAAUAGACAGAGCUUCAUAGGCCGAACAUUACAAUGUCUUAACUGAAUCCAGUAAAACAUUUUUGUUUGCUUCAUAGGCUGAACAUCACGCAUCCUCACCUAUGCUGCUUCGAGACCAGUAGAGGCAGCGCAGUAGUAGAAAGUAGUAGAUGCAGCGCAGUAGCCGCCCAUCCAGCAGUCCGGGCAGCGCUAGCCACAACAUACUGCUGGCCCGCCUCCGCCUCCUGCUUCCUCCUCCUCGUCCAUGGAGCUCGUCCCCCGCCGCACAUCACCUCCACUAGCCGCGGCGCCUCGGAGAACCUCAACAGAUUCCUCCUCUCGCGCCUCCGCUCUGCCCGGACCUUGGGCCGACGAACACCUUGCCUAGAGUAGGAGAUGCGUGUCGAUUUGGCCUAGAUCUACGCCGGAUCGAGACGAGUAGGUGACGAUGGAGAUGGAUCUGGUCGGAGGAGAAAGGGGAUUUUUUCUGGACAGAGGCGGACGAGAGGAACUCGCGUGAAGGAUUGAGGAGAGGUUGGCUUGCUCAAUUUCUUUAUGGACGUGUGGGUCCCGCUUUCCUAUGGGCUGCAAACGCACAUUGUGAGGCCGGUGCCAAUUUUUUUUGUAAGGGCAUCGAUGCCCAGUCUGCUAUAUUUUAGUGCACCGGGCACAUAGUGGAAGGCCUUAGGGGACGCUUAUCUCAAGGCGUGAGGUCGACACUGUAGUUAACCAUGUGAAGUCACGGAGGGCAGCGAUCUGCGCCGGCGCACCGGCGCAACGGUUCGGCCGGUCGAGCCCGAGCCGUCCGAUGCGAUUAGCGCGAACCGUUAGAUCUGCGCGCGAGUGUGUACCGAGCCAACCGUUGCAGCAAAAAAACACAUUUUGUUGCAACCGUUGUACAAACAACCACAACGAGAAAAACAGGGGAGCUGGAUCCCCCGCGUCUGCCCGUCCCCGAUCCACGGCGGCAGCGGCCGGAUCCGCCUGUUUUAAGUUCUCCACGGCUGAAUCACGUCGAGGAGGGGCUUCCCCAUCUAUCAAGCGGCCUUGGAAUUGCUUCAACCAUGUCUUACAUCUGUAAUGACCUCCUUGCCUCCAUGGAUUUGGGCUCGAGCUCCACUGCCGUUCAUGGCCGAAGUCCCCUGAGGCGGCAAGGCCCUGGUGGUAGUGGACCGGUGCUGCAACGGUACUACAACCCUGGUGUGGUCUUUCAAGAUGCAGCACGGCAUGGCCGGGAUGAAAUUGAUUUGGUAUGAUUUCCCAAUUGCAACCCUAGAUCCUUUUGUUCACAAAAAAAUGUUGCAACAUUUGAUUUCAAUUGAUGAGCAUGAGAUUAAAAAGAGAUGUUCUCAACGUACUUGUGUUUGAUUUUUGUGUAAUGUUUCUGAUAUGUUGUCAAUUAAUGGUAGCAUCUUCCUGCUGUCUGCUAGUAAAAUGUUACAAGUAUGUGUUGCACUUGCUACGUGCUACUUGCUGGAUGUUACAUGCUACAUCCUAAAAUGCUGCAUGCAGGAGUUGUUUUGGAAUUGUGAUUGACAUGCUGCAUCCACUUUUUUGUUCGCGUUUUUUGUUGGGGAACGUGUUAGGUUUCGUAGUAAUUUCAAAAAAAAUUUCCUACGCGCACACAGGAUCAUGUGAUGCAUAGCAACGAGAGGAGAGUGUUGUCUACGUACCCAACGCAGACCGACUGCGGAAGCAAUGACACGACGUAGAGGAAGUAGUCGUACGUCUUCACGAUCCAACCGAUCAAGCACCGAAACUACGGCACCUCCGAGUUCGAGCACACGUUCAGCUCGAUGACGAUCCCCGGACUCCGAUCCAGCAAAGUGUCGGGGAAGAGUUUCGUCAGCACGACGGCGUGGUGACGAUCUUGAUGAACUACAGCAGCAGGGCUUCGCCUAAACUCCGCUACAGUAUUAUCGAGGAAUAUGGUGGCAGGGGGCACCGCACACGGCUAAGGAAUCGAUCACGUGGAUCAACUUGUGUCAACUUGUGUGUUUAGAGGUGCCCCUGCCUCCGUAUAUAAAGGAGGAGAGGAGGGGAGGCUGGCCGGCCAAAGAGGGAGGCGCAGGAGAGUCCUACUCCCUCUGGGAGUAGGAUUCCUCCCCCCAAUCCUAGUCCAACUAGGAUUCCUCGGAGGGGAAGGGAGAGAGGGGGGCCGGCCACCUUCUCCUAGUCCUAAUAGGACUAGGGGAGGGGAAAGAGGCGCAGCCACCUUGGGCUGCCCCUUUCUCCUUUCCACUAAGGCCCAUGAUGGCCCAUAUGGCUCCCGGGGGGUUCCGGUAACCUCCCGGUAACCCGGUAAAAUCCCGAUUUCACCCGGAACAAUUCCGAUGUCCAAACAUAGGCUUCCAAUAUAUCAAUCUUUACGUCUCGACCAUUUCGAGACUCCUCGUCAUGUCCGUGAUCACAUCCGGGACUCCGAACAACCUUCGGUACAUCAAAAUGCAUAAACUCAUAAUAUAACUGUCAUCGUAACCUUAAGCGUGCGGACCCUACGGGUUCGAGAACAAUGUAGACAUGACCGAGACAUGUCUCUGGUCAAUAACCAAUAGCGGGACCUGGAUGCCCAUAUUGGCUCCUACAUAUUCUACGAAGAUCUUUAUCGGUCAGACCGCAUAACAACAUACGUUGUUCCCUUUGUCAUCGGUAUGUUACUUGCCCGAGAUUCGAUCGUCGGUAUCCAAUACCUAGUUCAAUCUCGUUAACGGCAAGUCUCUUUACUCGUUCCGUAAUACAUCAUCUCACAACUAACAUAUUAGUUGUAAUACUUGCAAGGCUUAUGUGAUGUGUAUUACCGAGAGGGCCCAGAGAUACCUCUCCGACAAUCGGAGUGACAAAUCCUAAUCUCGAAAUACGCCAACCCAACAUCGACCAUUGGAGACACCUGUAGUACUCCUUUAUAAUCACCCAUUUACGUUGUGACGUUUGGUAGUACCCAAAGUGUUCCUCCGGUAAACGGGAGUUGCAUAAUCUCAUAGUCGUAGGAACAUGUAUAAGUCAUGAAGAAAGCAAUAGCAACAUACUAAACGAUCAGGUGCUAAGCUAAUGGAAUGGGUCAUGUCAAUCAGAUCAUUCUACUAAUGAUGUGACCUCGUUAAUCAAAUAACAACUCAUUGUUCAUGGUUAGGAAACAUAACCAUCUUUGAUUAACGAGCUAGUCAAGUAGAGGCAUACUAGUGACACUCUGUUUGUCUAUGUAUUCACACAUGUAUUAUGUUUCCGGAAAAUACAAUUCUAGCAUGAAUAAUAAACAUUUAUCAUGAUUAUAAGGAAAUAAAUAAUAACUUUAUUAUUGCCUCUAGGGCAUAUUUCCUUCAGAACGUAGCAGAAAUUCAAAAAAUUUCCUACGUAACACCAAGAUCUAUCUAUGGAGAGACCAGCAACGAGUAGAAUGAGAGUGCAUCUACAUACCCUUGUAGAUCGCUAAGCGGAAGCGUUCAAGUGAACGGGGUUGAUGGAGUCGUACUCGUCGUGAUUCAAAUCACCGAUGAUCAAGUGCCGAACGGACGACACCUCCGCGUUCAACACACGUACAGCCCGGUGACGUCUCCCAUGCCUUGAUCCAGCAAGGAGAGAGGGAGAGGUUGAGGAAGACUCCAUCCAACAGCAGCACAACGGCGUGGUGGUGGUGGAGGAGCGUGGCAAUCCCGCAGGGCUUCGCCAAGCACCAUGGGAGAAGAGGAGGAGGGAGAGGGGCAGGGCUGCACCAACGAGAGAUCAAAUCGCGUGUUAUGGGCAGCCCCAUGCCUCAAUAUAUAUAGGGGAAGGGGAGGGCUGCGCCCCCUUUAGGGUUUCCCACCCCCAAGGGGUGCGGCCAGCCCUAGAUGGGAAAGGGGCGGCGGCCAAGGGAGGAUUCCCUCCCCCCCAAGGCACCUAGGAGGUGCCUUCCCCUCCUAGGACUCUUCCUUAGGGUUCCCCUUUGACCCUAGGCGCAUGGGCCAUGAGGGAAGUGGCGCCCCAGCCCACUUUAGGCUGGAUCCCUUCCCACUUCAGCCCAUGUGGCCCCCCAGGGCAGGUGGCCCCACCCGGUGGGCCCCCGGGACCCUUCCGGUGGUCCCGGUACAAUACCGAUGACCCCGAAACUUGUCCCGAUGGCCGAAACAGGACUUCCUAUAUAUAAAUCUUUACCUCCGGACCAUUCCGGAACUCCUCGUGACGUCCGGGAUCUCAUCUGGGACUCCGAACAACAUUCGGUAACCAUAUACAAGCUUCCUUUAUAACCCUAGCGUCAUCGAACCUUAAGUGUGUAGACCCUACGGGUUCGGGAGACAUGCAGACAUGACCGAGACGUUCUCCGGUCAAUAACCAACAGCAGGAUCUGGAUACCCAUGUUGGCUCCCACAUGUUCCACGAUGAUCUCAUCGGAUGAACCACGAUGUCAAGGACUCAAUCGAUCCCGUAUACAAUUCCCUUUGUCUAGCGGUAUUUUACUUGCCCGAGAUUCGAUCGUCGGUAUACCGAUACCUUGUUCAAUCUCGUUACCGGCAAGUCACUUUACUCGUUCCGUAACACAUCAUCCCGUGAUCAACUCCUUGGUCACAUUGCGCAUAUGAUGAUGUCCUACCGAGUGGGCCCAGAGAUACCUCUCUGUUUACACGGAGUGACAAAUCCCAGUCUUGAUCCGCAUAAAACAAUAGAUACUUUCGGAGAUACCUGUAGUGCACCUUUAUAGUCACCCAGUUACGUUGUGACGUUUGAUACACUCAAAGCACUCCUACGGUAUCCAGGAGUUACACGAUCUCAUGGUCGAAGGAAGAGAUACUUGACAUUGGCAAAGCUCUAGCAAAUGAACUACACGAUCUUUUGUGCUAGUCUUAGGAUUGGGUCUUGUCCAUCACAUCAUUCUCCUAAUGAUGUGAUCCCGUUAUCAACGACAUCCAAUGUCCAUAGCCAGGAAACCAUGACUGUCUGUUGAUCACAACGAGCUAGUCAACUAGAGGCUUACUAGGGACAUAUUGUGGUCUAUGUAUUCACACGUGUAUUACGAUUUCCGGAUAAUACAGUUAUAGCAUGAAUAAAAGACAAUUAUCAUGAACAAAGAAAUAUAAUAAUAACUUAUUUAUUAUUGCCUCUAGGGCAUAUUUCCAACAGUCUCCCACUUGCACUAGAGUCAAUAAUCUAGUUCACAUCGCCAUGUGAUUAACACUCACAGGUCACAUCGCCAUGUGACUAAUACCCAAGAGUUUACUAGAGUCAGUAGUCUAGUUCACAUCACUAUGUGAUUAACACUCAAUGAGUUUUAUGUUUGAUCAUGUUGCUUGUGAGAGAGGUUUUAGUCAACGGGUCUGAACCUUUCAGAUCCGUGUGUGCUUUACAAAUCUCUAUGUCAUCUCCUAGAUGCAGCUACCACGCUCUAUUUGGAGCUAUUCCAAACAACUGUUCUACUUGGAGCUAUUCUAAAUUAUUGCUCCAUUAUAUGUAUCCGGUCUCUCUACUCAGAGCUAUCCGGAUAGGUGUCAAGCUUGCAUCGUCGUAACCUUUACGACGAACUCUUUUACCACCUCCAUAAUCGAGAAAAUUUCUUAGUCCACUAGUUACUAAGGAUAACUUUGACCGCUAUCCUGUGAGCCAUUCUUGGAUCACUCUUGUACCCCUUGACUGACUCAUGGCAAGGCACACUUCAGGUGCGGUACACAGCAUAGCAUACUGAAGAGCCUACGUCUUAAGCAUAGGGGACGACCUUCGUCCUUUCUCUCUAUUCUGCCGUGGUCGAGCUUUAAGUCUUAACUUCAUACCUUACAACUCAGGCAAGAACUCCUUCUUUGACUGGUCCAUCUUGAACACCUUCAAGAUCAUGUCAAGGUAUGUGCUCAUUUGAAAGUAUUAUUAAGCAUUUUGAUCUAUCCUUAUAGAUCUUGAUGCUCAAUGUUCAAGUAGCUUAAUCCAGGCUUUCCAUUGAAAAACACUUUCAAAAUAACCCUAUAUGCUUUCUAGAAAUUCUACAUCAUUUCUGAUCAUCAAUAUGUCAACAACAUAUACUCAUCAGAAAUUCUAUAGUGCUCCCACUCACUUCUUUGGAAAUACAAGUUUCUCAUAAACUUUGUACAAACCCAAAAUCUUUGAUCAUCAUCAAAGCAUAUAUUCCAACUCCGAGAUGCUCACUCCAGUCCUUAGAAGGAUCGCUGGAGCUAGCAUACCUUUUAGCAUCCUUAGGAUCGACAAAACUUUUCUGAUUGUAUUGCAUACAACCUUUCCUUACGAAACUGGUAAGGAAACUUGUUUUGACAUCCAUCUGCCAGAUUUCAUAAAUGCAGCUAAUGCUAACAUGAUUCCGACGGACUUAAGCAUCGCUACGGAUGAGAAAAUCUCAUCGUAGUCAACUCCUUGAACUUGUGAAAAACUCUUCUCCACAAGUCGAGCUUCAUAGACGGUGACAUCACCAUCCACGUCCGUCUUCUUCUUAAAAGAUCCAUUUAUAUCAAUGGAUUGCCGAUCAUCGGGCAAGUCCAUCAAAGUCCAUGCUUUGUUCUGAUAUAUGGAUACUAUCUCGGAUUUCAUGGCUUCUAACCAUUUGUCGGAAUUCGGGCCCACCAUCGCUUCUCCAUAGCUCGUAGGUUCAUUGUUGUCUAGCAACAUGACCUUCAAGACAGGAUCACCUUACCACUCCGAAGUAGUACGUGUCCUUGUCGUCCUACGAGGUUCGGUAGUGACUUGAUCCGAAGCUUCAUGAUCACUAUCAUAAGCUUCCACUUCAAUUGGUGUAGGUGCCACAGGAACAACUCCCUGUGCCCUGUCACACACUAGUUGAAGAGACGGUUCAAUAACCUAAUCAAGUCUCCACCAUCCUCCCACUCAAUUCUUUCGAGAGAAACUUUUCCUCGAGAAAGGACCCGAUUCUAGAAACAAUCCAUAUUGCUUUCGGAUCUGAAUUAGGAGGCAUACCCAACUGCUUUGGGUGUCCUAUGAAGAUGUAUUUUAUCCGCUUUGGGUUCGAGCUUAUCAACCUGAAACUUUUUCAUAUAAGCGUCGCAGCCCCAAACUUUUAAGAAACGACAACUUAGGUUUCUCUAAACCAUAAUUCAUACGGUGUCAUCUCAACGGAAUUACGUGGUGCCUUAUUUAAAGUGAAUGUGGUUGUCUCUAAUGCCUAACCCAUGAACGAUAGUGGUAAUUCGAUAAGAGACAUCAUGGUACGCACCAUAUCCAAUAGGGUGCAACUAUGAUGUUCGGACACACCAUCACAUUAUGGUGUUCCAGGCGGUAUUAAUUGCGAAACAAUUUCCACAAUGUCUUAAUUUUGUGCCAAAACUCGUAACUCAGAUAUUCAUCUCUAUGAUCAUAUCAUAGACAUUUUAUCCUCUUGUCACAAUGAUCUGCUACUUCACUCUGAAAUUACUUGAACCAUUCAAUAAUUCAGACUUGUGUUUCAUCAAGUAAAUAUUCUCAACAUCUACUCGAAUCAUCUGUGAAGUAAGAACAUAACGAUAUUCACUGCAUGCCUCAGCAUUUAUUGGACUGCACACAUCAAAAUGUGUUACUUCCAACAAGUUGCUAUCUUGUUCCAUCUUAUUGAAACCGAGGCUUUUCAGUCAUCUUGCCUAUGUGGUAUGAUUUGCAUAUCUCAAGUGAUUCAAAAUCAAGUGAGUCCGAACGAUCCAUCUGCAUGGAGUUUCUUCAUGCGUAUACACCAAUAGACAUGGUUCGCAAACUUUUCUAAAACGAGUGAGUCCAAAGAUCCAUCAACAUGGAGCUUCUUCAUGCGUUUUAUACCAUUAUGACUUACAUGGCAGUGCCACAAGUAAGUGGUACUAUCAUUACUAUCUUAUAUCUUUUGGCAUGAAAAUGUGUAUCACUACGAUCGAGAUUCAAUAAACCAUUCAGGUUUAAUACUAAUCUUGAUGGUAGAGGGAGCGUGCGAUGUUUGAUCACAUCAAGCUUGGAAACACUUCCAACAUAUAUCGUCAGCUCACCUUUAGCUAGUCUCCGUUUUAUUCCGUAGCUUUUAUUUCGAGUUACUAACACUUAGCAACCGAACCGGUAUCUAAUACCCUGGUGCUACUAGGAGUACUAGUAAAGUACACAUUAACACAAUGUAUAUCCAAUAUACUUCUAUCGACCUUGCCAGCCUUCUCAUCUACCAAGUAUCUAGGGUAAUCCUGCUCCAGUGGUUGUUCCCCUUAUUACAGAAGCACUUAGUCUCGGGUUUGGGUUCAACCUCGGGUUUCUUCAUUGGUGCAGCAGCUGAUUUGUCGUUUCAUGAAGUAUCCCUUCUUUCCCUUGCCCUUCUUGAAACUAGUGGUUUCAUCAACCAUCAACAAUUGAUGCUCCUUCUUGAUUUCUACUUUCGCGAUGUCAAACAACGCGAAUACCUCAAGGAUCAUCAUCUCUAUCCUUGAUAUGUUAUAGUUCAUCACGAAGCUCUAGCAGCUUGGUGGUAAUGACUUCGGAGAAACUAUCACUAUUUCAUCUGGAAGAUCAACUCCCACUUGAUUCAAGUGAUUGUUGUACUCAGACAAUCUGAGCACAAGCUCAACGAUUGAGCUUUUCUCCCUUAGUUUGCAGGCUAAGAAAAUCGUCGGAGGUCUCAUACCUCUUGACGUGGGCACGAGCCUGAAAUCCCAAUUUCAGCCCUCGAAACAUCUCAUAUGUUCCGUGACGUUUCGAAAACGUCUUUAGUGCCUCAACUCUAAACCGUUUAACUGAACUAUCAAGUAGUUAUCAAAACGUGUAUGUCCGAUGUUCACAACAUCCACAAACGACGUUUGGGGUUCAGCACACUGAGCGGUGCAUUAAGGACAUAAGCUUUCUACUGAUCGCAUAAUCGCUACUAUCAACUUUCAACUAUAUUUUCUCUAGGAACAUAUCUAAAACAGUAGAACUAAAGCGCGAGCUACGACAUAAUUUGCAAAAGGUCUUUUGACUAUGUUCAGGAUAAUUAAGUUCAUCUUAUGAACUCCCACUUAGAUAGACAUCCCUCUGGUCAUCUAAGUGAUCACAUGAUCCGAGUCAACUAGGCCGUGUCCGAUCAUCACGUGAGACGGACUAGUCAUCAUCGGUGAACAUCUUCAUGUUGAUCGUAUCUACUAUACGACUCAUGCUCGACCUUUCGGUCUCCGUGUUCCGAGGCCAUGUCUGUACAUGCUAGGCUCGUCAAGUUAACCCUAAGUGUUUUCGCUGUGUAAAACUGUCUUACACCCGUUGUAUGUGAACGUAAGAAUCCAUCACACCCGAUCAUCACGUGGUGCUUAGAAGCGAUGAACUGUAGCAACGGUGCACAGUUAGGGGAGAACACUUCUUGAAAUUUUGUAAGGGAUCAUCUUAUUUACUACCGUCGUCCUAAGUAAACAAGAUGCAUAAACAUGAUAAACAUCACAUGCAAUCAAAUAGUGACAUGAUAUGGCCAAUAUCAUUUUGCUCCUUUUGAUCUUCAUCUUCGGGGCUCCAUGAUCAUCUUGUCACCGGCAUGACACCAUGAUCUCCAUCAUCGUGUCUUCAUGAAGUUGUCACGCCAACGACUACUUCUACUUCUAUGACUAACGCGUUUAGCAAUAAAGUAAAGUAGUUUACAUGGCGUUCUUCAAUGACACGCAGGUCAUACAAUAAAUAAAGACAACUCCUAUGGCUCCUGCCGGUUGUCAUACUCAUCGACAUGCAAGUCGUGAAUCCUAUUACAAGAACAUGAUCAAUCUCAUACAUCACAUAUCAUUCAUCACAUUCUUCUUGGCCAUAUCACAUCACAUAGCAUACCCUGCAAAAACAAGUUAGACGUCCUCUAAUUGUUGUUGCAUGUUUUACGUGGCUGCUAUGGGUUUCUAGCAAGAACGUUUCUUACCUACGCAAAACCACAACGUGAUAUGCCAAUUGCUAUUUACCCUUCAUAAGGACCCUUUUCAUCGAAUCCGUUCCGACUAAAGUGGGAGAGACUGGCACCCGCUAGCCACCUUAUGCACCAAAGUGCAUGUCAAUCGGUGGAACCUGUCUCACGUAAGAGUACGUGUAAGGUCGGUCCGGGCCGCUUCAUCCCACAAUACCGUCGAAACAAGAUUGGACUAGUAACGGUAAGCAUAUUGAACAACAUCAACGCCCACAACUACUUUGUGUUCUACUCGUGCAAAGAAUCUACGCAAUAGACCUAGCUCAUGAUGCCACUGUUGGGGAACGUAGCCGAAAUUCAAAAAUUUUCCUACGUAACACCAAGAUCUAUCUAUGGAGAGACCAGCAACGAGUAGAAUGAGAGUGCAUCUACAUACCCUUGUAGAUCGCUAAGCGGAAGCGUUCAAGUGAACGGGGUUGAUGGAGUCGUACUCGUCGUGAUUCAAAUCACCGAUGAUCAAGUGCCGAACGGACGGCACCUCCGCGUUCAACACACGUACAGCCCGGUGACGUCUCCCAUGCCUUGAUCCAGCAAGGAGAGAGGGAGAGGUUGAGGAAGACUCCAUCCAACAGCAGCACAACGGCGUGGUGGUGGUGGAGGAGCGUGGCAAUCCCGCAGGGCUUCACCAAGCACCAUGGGAGAAGAGGAGGAGGGAGAGGGGCAGGGCUGCACCAACGAGAGAUCAAAUCGCGUGUUAUGGGCAGCCCCAUGCCUCAAUAUAUAUAGGGGAAGGGGAGGGCUGCGCCCCCUUUAGGGUUUCCCACCCCCAAGGGGUGCGGCCAGCCCUAGAUGGGAAAGGGGCGGCGGCCAAGGGAGGAUUCCCUCCCCCCCAAGGCACCUAGGAGGUGCCUUCCCCUCCUAGGACUCUUCCUUAGGGUUCCCCUUUGACCCUAGGCACAUGGGCCAUGAGGGAAGUGGCGCCCCAGCCCACUUUGGGCUGGAUCCCUUCCCACUUCAGCCCAUGUGCCCCCCCGGGGCAGGUGGCCCCACCCGGUGGGCCCCCGGGACCCUUCCGGUGGUCCCGGUACAAUACCGAUGACCCCGAAACUUGUCCCGAUGGCCGAAACAGGACUUCCUAUAUAUAAAUCUUUACCUCCGGACCAUUCCGGAACUCCUCGUGACGUCCGGGAUCUCAUCCGGGACUCCGAACAACAUUCGGUAACCACAUACAAGCUUCCUUUAUAACCCUAGCGUCAUCGAACCUUAAGUGUGUAGACCCUACGGGUUCGGGAGACAUGCAGACAUGACCGAGACGUUCUCCGGUCAAUAACCAACAGCGGGAUCUGGAUACCCAUGUUGGCUCCCACAUGUUCCACGAUGAUCUCAUCGGAUGAACCACGAUGUCAAGGACUCAAUCGAUCCCGUAUACAAUUCCCUUUGUCUAGCGGUAUUUUACUUGCUCGAGAUUCGAUCGUCGGUAUACCGAUACCUUGUUCAAUCUCGUUACCGGCAAGUCACUUUACUCGUUCCGUAACACAUCAUCCCGUGAUCAACUCCUUGGUCACAUUGCGCAUAUGAUGAUGUCCUACCGAGUGGGCCUAGAGAUACCUCUCUGUUUACACGGAGUGACAAAUCCCAGUCUCGAUCCGCAUAAAACAAUAGAUACUUUCGGAGAUACCUGUAGUGCACCUUUAUAGUCACCCAGUUACGUUGUGACGUUUGAUACACUCAAAGCACUCCUACGGUAUCCAGGAGUUACACGAUCUCAUGGUCGAAGGAAGAGAUACUUGACAUUGGCAAAGCUCUAGCAAAUGAACUACACGAUCUUUUGUGCUAGUCUUAGGAUUGGGUCUUGUCCAUCACAUCAUUCUCCUAAUGAUGUGAUCCCGUUAUCAACGACAUCCAAUGUCCAUAGCCAGGAAACCAUGACUAUCUGUUGAUCACAACGAGCUAGUCAACUAGAGGCUUACUAGGGACAUAUUGUGGUCUAUGUAUUCACACGUGUAUUACGAUUUCCGGAUAAUACAGUUAUAGCAUGAAUAAAAGACAAUUAUCAUGAACAAAGAAAUAUAAUAAUAACUUAUUUAUUAUUGCCUCUAGGGCAUAUUUCCAACAUUUUUUGCAUGUUUUUUGAUGCAGCAAAAAAGAACUAACUUGGGUGCUGAUUUUGUUGCAGAAUGUUGCUGUGGAGCCAUCGAUUUUCUUUGAUGAUGAUAUGCAAAAUGUUGCGCACGAAGAAGAAGAUGAUGGCAUUGAUCUGAAUGAUACUCCAGGACAUGAUAGUGACGAUUCCUUGCAGCUAAACACGGAUGGUGCAGCUCCAAACCAUUGCAAUGCCCGUGUGACCGGUGACAAUGGCAAUGGAAAUGCUGCAAUACUUGUUGAUGAACCAGACGAAGAUAUAUCAUCACAGCCAGUUGUCCCUUUUGUUGGAAUGAUUUUUGACAAUAUUGAAGAAGCUCAGCGUGUUUACAAUGAAUAUGCUUCUGAGAUGGGCUUUGGAACUCGCAUUGUGACGUUAAAGUAUAGUAGGAAAAAUAGCUUGGAACAGAAGCGCAUCCUAAUCUAUAGAGUUUUUGAGUGCAUACACUCACGGAGAGAUCCUUCUAAGAAUGUUGGUGGAAGCAUUUCUGACAGGGCUGCAACAAAUCAAAGUGAUGAUGUUGAUAUGAGCUAUGCUAGUAAUAAAAAAUCUCCAAGCAAACAAGCUAGCAUCUAUAUGGAUGUGAGCGACAAGAGGAGAAGAAACCGGUUGGAGCGGUAUGAUUGCAAGGCUCGUAUGGGUGUUAGCCUCAAAGAAGGUAGCUGGGUUGUGACAGUUUUUGAGGCUGAUCACACACACCAGCUGAUGUUGCAAAGGGGGCGUCGAAGAUUUUGCCACUCUCACAGAAAGAUCCCCGAUGCAGACAUGCAAUACAUCACUUCGCUGCACUAUCGCAACAUAUCAACGGCUAAUAUGAUGGGCUUGCUUGGAGAUGCACGAUGCUGCGAUCCUAGGAGUUUGUCGUAUGUGAAGACUGAUGUGACAAAUGCAAGAGCAAAGCUGCGAAGGGGCCUGUCAGAGCGUGAUUUGGAGCUGACAAUCGAGUACUUUGAGAGAAGACAAGUGGAGAAUCCCAACUUAUUUUUCUCGAAGCUAGAAGAAGAUGGAGCUGUUAGAGCACUUUUCUGGGUUGAUGGGAGAACAAGGGCCUUGUAUCCAAAGUAUAAAGAUUGUGUGUUUUUCGACACCACAUUCUGCACCAAUCGCUACAACUUGCCCUUUGCUCCGAUUGUUGGCAUUAACAACCACACACAUACUAUUUUGCUUGGGGUGCGCUUUGUUGCCUGAUGAGGCCAUCGAAACUUUCAAGUAGGUCUUCCAGCAAUGGAUGUUGGCAAUGAAUAACGAGCAUCCGUUGAACAUUAUGACUGAUCAAGACCAGGCAAUGGCUAAAGCCAUCUCAAUGGUAUUUCCACAUUCAACACACAGAUGUUGCAAGUGGCACAUCUUCCGGGUUGCAAGGACGAAACUAGGGAAGAUGUUGGGCAAGGAUGAGCCUUUUGCUGAAGCAUUCUAUGGUUGCAUCAAUGAUUCCGAUACCGUUGAGGAGUUUGAAGAACGGUGGAAGCAGAUGGUCGAGUCAUUUGGUGUGGCUGAUAAGAAACACCUGAAGAACAUGUGGGACAGCAGGGAGAUGUGGGCUCCUGUGUACUUUAGGAAUAAGUUCUUCCCAUUCACAGGAACAACUGGGCGGUCCGAGGGCCUGAAUUCCUACUUCAAGACUUUAAAUCAUCAUGGAGACUCGGUUUGGACAUUUGUCCAGCAGUUUGAGCUUUGCCAGGAACUAAUGCUUGAUCGUGAAGACAAUGCUGGCUUCAUCAAUGAAGCGACAAGGCCUCCGCUCUGGGGCAAGUAAGUCCAAAGUCAUGUAGCAUUUUUUUAGUUUUCCAGCACAGUGUGGUUGCAGCAUUUCUUUGAAACAUAUGUAGUAAUUAUUAUUGAUGUUGGAAGCUUUUUUUGUUUGCAGCUACAACAUUGAAAAGCAAGCUGCAGAUUUCUAUACCAGAGAGGUAUUUUCCAAGUUUCAGAAACUAUUGGCUAAAUCAACAGGCUAUGGUCUGCAAUAUCAGCUGCAAGGGGAUGUCAUCUGGUUUCGCCUUGUUGCAAACUAUGGCGUCAACCCAAAAGUGUACACGGUGCGUGUUGCUCCUAAAGAUCAGGCAUACAUGUGCACCUGCAACAUGUUUGAGAUGUGUGGGCUGAUCUGCCCACAUAUCAUCCGUGUCAUGGUGCACCUGAAUGUGCAAACGAUACCUGCGACUUACAUGCUUCCAAGAUGGUCUAAGAGAGCAACCGACCUUGCGCCUGAACCGGGCGAUGGGCAUAGAGCUAUGCAUUUCGGCGUCCCCACGACAAACACCCUAAAGUUUAACUCUCUAUGCCGGAAGUUUGGGAAACUCGCUUCUGAUGCUUGCUUCAAUGAUGAAGCUUAUAGUUUUGUCUCUGGGCUAAUUGAUCAGGGCAGUGUUGGGGUUGCUGCAAUAAAAGCUAGAGCAACUGAUGGGUUUGCAGGAGACGAAGAAGGCCAAGGUCAUGCAGGACAUGAACAAGUCUCAGGAGGUCCAAGUACAGGUCAGCGGGAUCCACCCCCCGUAGGACUACGGAACCCACCAAAGUCUGCAAAGAAGGGGAGGCCAAAGGAGAAAGAGAAGCGCAGGAAACCACUAAUUGAGAUUCGAGAAGAUGAAAUGAAGAAGAAAGCAAAGAAGGACGCGGCGAAAACGAAGAAAGCUCCAAAGCCAAGGGAAAAGAAGACUCCAUGCAAAUAUUGUGAAGAUGAAGAUCACAACGUGAAGGAUUGCCAACUCCUUGCAGCUUUUCUUGCUGCGAGUGCGAGCGCGAAAGCUCCGGGUGUCAAAACAAUCCUUACACUUUAGGAUAUUUUCGUGAGGGAAAAAUGAUGAAUUGCCUUGUAACACCCCAUGACUUAUGAUAAUAAGUUGUGUUGACUAGCUGUGAAUGUUUGUUUUGUGGGAUUGCAACAUAUUACUACAUGCGUGGUUUGAAAAAAGCAGAAUGUUGCUUUUUACAAGAGUUGUUUUUAAAUAAAUUCUUAUUGUUAUAUGUUUGUGAGAGCUUACUUUUUGUAGUAUGAUGGUGCCAAAAGUAGAAUUUAAAAAAAGCGGAAUGUGGGUUUUUUCUUAUUUAUUUUUUAAAAAAAUAGUACUCAAUGGUUGUUGUAACCACAGCUUGAUCCAUGCUUAAAAAGAACAUGUUUUAAGCUUUUGAAAAGCAUGGUUGAAGCUUUUGAAAAACAUGGUUGAAUCUUUUUGAAAAUAUGGUUGCAGCUUUUAGGAAACAUGUUUGAAGCUUCAAGAAAACAUGUUUAUAAGAUUUCUGGAAAGCAUGGUUGCAGCUUUUUAACAACAUGGUUGAAGCUUUUGUAAACAAGGUUGCAACUUUUAGGAAACAUGGUUGAAGCUUUUGAAAACUUGGUUGUAACUUUUUCAAAGUAUGGUUGAAACUUUUUCAAAAUAUGGUUGCAGCUUUUAGGAAACAUGGUUGAAGCUUUUUGCAAACAUGGUUGAAGCUUUUUAAAACAUGGUUGAAGCAAAAUAAUAAGUUUGAAAAGGAAAAAGCCUUGAAUGAUUUAAAGUGUUGAUUUAGCUGUACAGCAAAAGUUGGGAAAGGAAGCAUAUUUACAUUAUGCUUCCAGCAAAAAUAUUAUAGGGAUGUAGCUAAUUUGCAGGCAAAUCUAACAGAAGGUUGUAGCUAUUUCCUAUGAGCUUCCAGCAAUAUAAGUGUGUGACAAAAAGUAGCAUUCACAUAUUAUUUUUCAGAAAAUAUGUUUUAAGGGGGAAAAUGCACAGAGAUUCCCUUGAAACUUCAAUGGAUGAAGUUUGAAAUAUUUUCAUAUUUCAGAACCAGUGAAACAAAAAAUAAUUGUCACCGCAUGAUCAUGUUGGCAAACAGAAGAACGCAUCCAUUAAAAACAUAAGUGCAUCAUCCAAAUAUCAAGUUAUCAUCGGUUUACAUACCAAAAGGACACAUGUUUACUGGAGGUAUCAACAGUUUACAUACGAACGCGCACUACUCUAAUCCUAUUAGAACGCUAUCACCUCGGACAUGAUCUAGACCUAACGAAGAAACAAGCUUGUUCGUCUUGAACCUUCCAGAAAAUCAAGCCGCCAACUCAUCGUUGAACGUCCGCUCCUUUGGGGCGUUGUUCAUUGGGUGGCUGAAAAGGUUGUAUGCCACAUCGAUGCGGUAUCGCGCCAUGUCUUCCUAUAAAAAAUGAAUACAAAAAGUAAGCAAGAAUGAUACUAGUUAUUCUUGUGUUGCAUGAGUGAUGAAUGCAAAAAGUUCACAUCCAUCCACCGCAAAAAAUUGAUAUGGAUGUAGCAAAAUUAUGAUAUGGAUGAAGCAAAAGCAGAAUGUAGUUGUAGCAAACUAGACAUAUGAAUGUAGCUAAAAAAGCCUAGUAGGUACAAACUUGAACCACAUAUGAAGCAACAACAAAACAUGGUAUUCUUCUGUUGCAUGAGUAUUGAAAACAAAGAAAGUAGAUUGUAACAAAAUGACAAGACAAAAAAUUAAAAAUGUGUACCUGCUUGAACUCUCUCAUUGACUUCCCAUCAUAGUUCUCCACAUACUUGAGCCCAAAAAAACCACAAUCACAUCUUUGAGAUAAUAAAAAGUUCUCCAUCAUACUUCCCAUGCGUAGUUGAAAAAACAAAAUGUUGAAAUGGAACACAUGAUUGAAGCAAAAUUCAAAAAGAAAACUCACAGGGUAUCUUGCGUUGGGUAAUCCUCUAGGUCAACACAGGCGAAGGAUCCAACAUUGACAUUGAAUUCGCUGCACUCUUGUGCGAGGGUCGCAAAGUUUGUGAUCUAGCACCGAGAACACACACAAAAGUUUCAAAAAUAAAAUGAGGUGUGUAAAGAUGACAACAGGGCAUUUAUGUAGAUGAAUCAGAAGGCUAAACAGAAAAAAUCAGAGAGCAUGAGCAUACCAGGUUAUUGGCUUGCUUCUUCAAAGGAGAUUGUUUUCCUUUUGAAUGGAUUGAGUCAAAUACAUUCCACUGCUCGUGAAGCAAGUUUGCGCAAACAACUAUCCAAUGGCGAUCAUGAACAAUUGUGAAAAAGAGCUGCAAAAAACAAAAGAAAGGCGAAAAGGUACUCAGAACAUGUAAAAAAUGUUACAGCCGUGUCACAUCAUUGGAUCAUAUUUGGAAGUUAUUUGUGGUGUGGAACAAAAGAAAGCUUCAUGAAACUUACGAGGUCAAACUUUUGAACCUUGAACACUUCCAUAGCCCUUUCAAGCUCAGCCAUGAGUUUUGCUGGUUGGAAAGUUGAUGGGUCUUGUUUUAGUAGGAUCUACUUGAAAGAUACAACAAAAUGGUUAGUGUGUGUUGCAACGAAAAUGUGAAAAGAAAGAAAAGAAUGAAGCAUUGCUUGUUUUUACAAAAACUUACCCCCGCGUGGACUGAGAAAAUGUAUUUCUUCAGCUCCGGUUCUUUUGCUGCACGGGAUGCAAUGUUGUUCAUCUCGAUACAUAGUGACAUGACCUCAUCAUUCAUAUCCCCGCGAGGCUUGAAGCAUACAAGGAAUUUCUUGUAUCCAAUGUAAAAUCCACCUAGCUUGAUGAAAGGUGUCCUGUUACCAUAGAUGCAACCGAAUGAAUCAUUUGUUUCGAGCAGAAAAAAUAAAAAAUAGAAAGCAAAAAACAGAUAAGGCUUAGGUAGCUCACACUUGUUCAUUGGGUUGUGAUUUCCUCAAUGGUUUCCCGUGUUUUACAAACCUCUCAUACAUUUCUGCAGCCUUGUCGACCUUUUGCUUCUUUGCCUUGGUAUUUUUUAUGGCUGGAACUUUGGCCAUCCUCUUCUUCCUAGUGUUCUUGUCAUGUGUGCUAGGGCCACUGCUUGCAUCAGCAAAAUGCUCUUCUGUAGCGACCAUCUUAGCAGUUGUAGCAAAAAAAUACAAAUGGAUGAGUUUGCAAGAGAUUGUACAAAAAGAAUUUGCUGGAAUCACACAAUUGUGAAAAAUGAUAUGGAGAAAAACAAAAAGAAAUGAUGCAAGAUGAAGAAAGCAUACUUGGGCUGUCAUCAUCGUCUGAAACAGGAAACACGGGGAUGUUUGCAUAGAUGGGACUGACUGUGCUCUUCUUAAUUAUAGGCUCAUCUGUGGAAUGCAUCAUCUCAUAGUCUUCGGAGCCCUUUGGGAACAACUCACAGGAUGGCUCGUCGUCCCAAAUGCCGGCUGUCGCACUCCUGGGUGCAUCAUAGAAGAGUGGGGGGCUGUGAGGUGAGGCGUUGUCUUCCAUCUCGAAACUCACUCUUUGUUGCUCACGAGUUUUCGCAGCCUCUGUUGCAACUUCUAGGUUCAAUCCGGUGACUUCAUCCUUGUUGAUGCUAGGUGUUGUACCUUGAGCUUGAGCUUGAGCAUCAAUGUCGGCAUUUGCGGCUUUAGCAUCAUUCUCUUUUCCGCAACAUUCGUCCAUGAUAGGUGCUUCAGGGCUCAUUGGUAGCUGUGAUGGCGUCUCCAACAUCACGAAGGAGAGCGGCCAUCCGGUUGCACUGCAAUUCCUUUAAACACUGUCCAAACUUGCCUACUACAUCAUCCACCUCUGCUGCAAAAAUAUCCUUGUGCUUGUCGUAUAGCAUUUGAAACUGAGUUGGUACCUACAAGAAGGCAAGUGGCCUACAUUUUUUGUGACAAGUAAAUCCAGAUUUUGAGAAGUAGGUGUGCUGUUGUGUCACUAUGUAUCAAAUAAACAGUGUGAUUGCAGCAAUUUACUGUCAUGGAUGAAGCAUAAAAAACAAAUGGUCUAUACCUCUAGGUAGCAAAUUAUGGAUAUGGAUGUAGCAAAAUUAUGACAUGUUUGAAACAAAAACAUAAUGUAGUUGUAGCACACUAGACAUAUGGAUGCAGUAAACAAAACCUAGUAGGUAUGAACUUAAACCACAUAUGAAGCAAAAACAGAACAUGGUUGUAGCACAUCAGAAUGAGGGAUGCAUCAAACAAAAUAUACACUUGCAACUGGGUAUAGUAAAUAAUGCAAAGCCAAAGGCAAAACAGGAAAUGAAUACAAAGAAAAAGAUAGUGUAGAUGGGGGAAAAGUACCCUUAGAUCUUGCAUGCUAGGGAAUGAUUGUUGCAGCCAAUCGUUGAGCGAGGAUGAUAGGUGUGGUUCAGCUUCAACAUUUUGUUGAGCCUCGUUUGAUUGAGAGUCCUUCGCUGGAAUUUCAGCACCUUGAAUUUGGCUUCCUUGGCCACUAGUUCCUUGGCCACUAGGUGCUUCAGCACCAACUCCCUGCCCACUGGCUGCUUCAGCACCAACUUCCUGUCCCGCGAGUUGUGCUGCAUAGGGGGUGUUGCACAAACUCCGUAUCUAGGAAAACAAAACAUGAGUGGCAGAAAUAAGAAGGCUGCCAUAACCUAAAUGGAAAAGUAAAGAUUGCUACAUGCAAAUUUAGUGAGCAAAAAAUAGGGGGGGUCUUAAUACUCCAUUGGCAAAGGAAAGUACAUAGGCGGGAUGUAGCAAAAUUACUUGGGUGUGUUUCCCGUAGAAAGGUUGGACAAGAGUGAGCUUGUUCUUGUCAACUUUAUCCAACCAAUCAAAAUCCUUUUGACAAACAAAACGUAUCCUUGGCACGGAAUAAUCAAUGGCAUGCUCAUGGGAGGCCGGACGGAAUAUCAAUAUGAUCCAUGUAUAUGAUCUGCAUAGAAUGGAAAAGGACAUUAGCCAACAAAAACAUAAAUGCGAGCUAUAGAAAUGUAUAAAAGGUUUCAUGCAGCAAAGGAAAAAAUGCAUGUAUUUCAUUUUGUUGCGUUGCAUACCGCUAACAUGGGAAGGCAUGAAGCGAUCUGAAACUCCGCUGCUUUUUCUGUAUUUGCUUGCAUCCUCUUCUUCUCUUGAAAGACUCCAACCUCCUCCAUCGCUCGUGCCAACAAGUGCUCAUCCCAAGCGAAUUCAUGCACCAAAGACAUAUCUUCCAAGGAAGCUAGAUACUCGAGAUUCACCAUAUUGCCAGUGCUUGGGCACAAAACUGUUGCCAACGCAAGGAGUGUCCAAGUCCUAUUUAUCAUAACCACGUCCUCAUCACUGCAACUAGUGAGCAACUUGACAACAUGGGCGAUUGGAGCCCUGUUCCCCUCCUUGUAGAUGCUGUGAAGAUCAUGUUCAUCACUCUUCUUAAAAAGCUUCACGGGUCUAUCACCGGAUGGCACGUUGAAAAUCCUUUUCACCAUGAGCUUGCUGAAGGUGAUGGACUUGUUCUUGUGUUUGAACUCAGAGAGUAUGUGAUUCGUGUUCAUCACAACAAACUCAAUGAGCUCAUGGGGCACCUUGAAAGACCGGAUGUCCAACAAGUCUCCAAACGGUCCCUCCCUUAUGAUUCUCUGUUUUUCUGGUGAUACUUGCUUCCCAAUCUCAGCCAGCCUUUUUGAGUUAAACCUUGACUUAAAGCCACAUAGAUUGCCUUUCUUCUUGGUCUUCUUCUUAACCUUCUUACUCCCUUCAUUCUCACCAGCGGUGCCUGCGACAUCUACAAAAAGGAAAAAAACAAGUCAAUAAAACCCUAAAACUGCAUCAUCAGUAACUAGGAAAAAACAUACAAAAACACCUAAAAAAUCUGUAAAACAUAAGAAACAUACAAGCACACAUAAAAAAUGUACAGAAUAAAACAUGUCCUUCAGUUAGCACAGCAUUAGGGCCAUGUUUGUUUCGCUUCAGCAUUAGGGUCAUGUUUGUUUCACUUCAGCCUUAACUAAGAAUUUUGUGAAAAAUAAUAUUUAACAAAAUUACUACAUGUGAUGAUCAGGUAUUUUGACCAUAACUGCCAUUAGCCAAUUUGGGGAGACAGACCUAUUAUUACUAGCAUUGGCUGUAACUUGUAAGUGUCAUAUUGCGUUGUCCCUACCAUGUCUAGUUUAGUCCCACUAUUCUCUGAAGUUUGAGUAGUGACUGGGAAAUAUGAAUAAGCUGCAUUGAUUAGUAAAGCAUCUAGUUCAUAUGCUAAUGUUCAACUUAGUAACAUAUACAAAUGUAACCUUCAACGAACUGAUUAUUUCUACUAAUCAUUAGUGACCCAGAAAUGUUAACACGAGACCAUCAGACCGGAUAAUGACUACUCAAGAAAGUGUGAUGCAACAAUGUAAAAUCCAUAUAACUGUCUGCUGAUGAAAUAAGCAAAGCCAUAUAUACCUGGAUAAAUAACCUGAAAUCAGAUGGUUUAGCACUAGCAUUACACAAACCAAUGAUGGCAACCCAUGGCAGCAGUAAGCAACACUCACAAAUACAAUACAACCAGGUUGAUCAUUGACAUAAUGCAGGCACUCCAAAGUAUGGAUCAUUGCAAGAACAACAUGUCCUUCACUUAGCACAACAUUAGGGCCAUAUUUGUUUCACUUCAGCCUUAGAGAGGAAAAAAUCUUGCAGGUACCAAGUACUACUCCAAUGCACAUGGAGUAAUAAUUAUUCAUGUUUGCUAGGUACUAGUACUACUACUACAAUGGUCUGAAAUUAGUACGUCCCUCCCUGACACCCUGUGGCAGUAAAUCUCAUCAUCACGGUGAUCUAGCAAAAUGAUUGGGCACAGCGUGCACACCCAGUACAGCUACAGUCUUACAGAGUAGUAGCACCAGUACUACCGACGGAGAAAUGCGAUGGAUGGACAAACAACAACCUGUCACUUGUCACCAGAAAUCUCCCACCGAACGCGGGGAGCUUAACACUCCGUCCUGCUGAACGAUUCAAAGGGACUUUCCUCCAGAUUUUAAGAAACGGAAGCACCAAACGCGUGCGCGCAAAGCCAACACGCAGCCUGGUUCCGGCCGCUUCCAGCUCACUCCGUCCCCUUGGCGCCGUGAUGGAACAUAGCUCAGGACAGGAAACAUCGAAUUUCCCCGAACAAGACGAGAUCCAACCCUAAUCCCAAUCCCAUUCCAAAUCCCUCUUGAACACAAGAUUCAAAUCCACCACCCCGCCCCCUCCAUCUGCCCNNNNNNNNNNNNNNNNNNNNNNNNNNNNNNNNNNNNNNNNNNNNNNNNNNNNNNNNNNNNNNNNNNNNNNNNNNNNNNNNNNNNNNNNNNNNNNNNNNNNNNNNNNNNNNNNNNNNNNNNNNNNNNNNNNNNNNNNNNNNNNNNNNNNNNNNNNNNNNNNNNNNNNNNNNNNNNNNNNNNNNNNNNNNNNNNNNNNNNNNNNNNNNNNNNNNNNNNNNNNNNNNNNNNNNNNNNNNNNNNNNNNNNNNNNNNNNNNNNNNNNNNNNNNNNNNNNNNNNNNNNNNNNNNNNNNNNNNNNNNNNNNNNNNNNNNNNNNNNNNNNNNNNNNNNNNNNNNNNNNNNNNNNNNNNNNNNNNNNNNNNNNNNNNNNNNNNNNNNNNNNNNNNNNNNNNNNNNNNNNNNNNNNNNNNNNNNNNNNNNNNNNNNNNNNNNNNNNNNNNNNNNNNNNNNNNNNNNNNNNNNNNNNNNNNNNNNNNNNNNGCGCCGGCGCCGGCCCGCGGGAACACAAACGACUCGCCCGCAUCAUAACCCGCCCUAACCCUAAAGCCAACGGGGGAGGGGGAGGCAACAACGAAAAGGGAGAGCGGGAGGGGAGAGUUACCAUCCGGGGAAGCCAUAGAUCGCCGGAGAAUCGAGAUCCGCCCUGGGCCGCCGCCGCCGCUCCUGAUCUGCCGGCGCCAACAAGCCCGUCGCCCGCCGGUCGCCCUGCCUCCUCGCACCGAAAUGACGACCCUGUGCGGUUGCAGCAAAAACUGAGGAAGGGAUAACCCGUGCGAGUUAAAAAAACAUGGGUCUGUGGUGACACGUGGCGCAGACAACGUCCCUUGGAUCAAAAGAGAUCCAACGCACGGAGCGCGACCGACGCAACGGUUCGGCCGGCGCCCCGGCCACAAACACUUCCCAGUCACGGACCUGCAGUAGAGUCACGAGUUCUCCGAAGUCACGGAGGUCAGCUACUGUCUACUGAACUCCAAAUGCAGUGCCGAAGAGACCAAUUGUACAUGAGAAAAGAGAGAAUUCCUUAUUUAACACUGUCUUAAAACUUUUUGCCCUAUUUAACAUUGUAAAAAAAUUUCUUCCCUAUCUAACAAUGCGUCUAAAUUUUAUGCCCUUUAUGACACUUUUAUCCAUUUUAAGCCUUAACUGUGUUAAAUGACAUCUGAAAAGACGUUUUUGCCCCUCGUAUGAUAUGUGAUAAAAAAAUUGAUAAAUGUUAAUAUUGUAUGUAUGUAUGUAUCCAACCGGCUCGGUUUGGUAGCUGUGUCAGCCAACUUUCAAGAAAAAUCAAUCAACCGCUUAUGCUAGCUCUGCAUCUACAAGUGCUCUGAGUUGCAUGGUGUAACUUUGCUUGUAUUAAUCACAUCUAUGAAGUGACAUAUACAUACCGGUACAACAAGUGGGACAGCUUGCUACCGAAUCUAAAUAGAAAGGCUGUCGAGUAGGCGGAGGCAUGCGGAGCGCGGUGCCAUUGCACUUGCACCCUGCAUGCACGCGUGUUGACCGAGUCCACGAGUUGGUCCUUGUGUAUGGAGUGGAAUCCGCUUGAGUCCAUUUUGGUCCGUGUCUUGCUGUCUGGCAAAGACGUGCGCGACGCCUUGCCCAGGUGCCUCUUGUCAGGACGUGCGGCCGAGGAGCUCGACCACAGGGACGGGGCGUGUACUGUAGUCGACAGCUCAUCCACGUAUUCCAGAUGACCAGUUCAUAUUAUAUGAAGGGCAAAAGUGUCUUUUUACAUGCAAUUUAACAAUGUUAGAUGAAAAAAUAGACAAAAGUGUCAUGAAAGGCAUAAAAUUUAGACCCCAUGUUAAAUAGGAAAGAAAAAGUUUUUCAGUGUCAAAUAGGGAAACACAUUUUAAAGUAGUGUCAAAUAAAGAAUUUUCUCAUGAGAAAACGAUACGCGCCAGUUUUGUUUCUGGUCAUCAGAUCAACACCCAACGGUCAGGAGUGCGCCUACACCUGUUCAUCUUUUUCCUCGCCCACAGUCCCUUCCGGUUACCCCUCACCCCCAGUUAAGUUCCAGACUCGCUAUUGCCAUCUCCUGCUCGUAGCUGUGGCCGGCGCUCCUUACGCCGUCCCCCAGCCGGAAAGUGACUGACGGCACACAAGAAUCGAAUACUCCAUAGUCCAAGGUUGCUGAUGAUGAAUUUCACACUUUCAUAUAGGAUAGCUCCAGCAUCCUGAUGGCACACAAAAAAAAUUAGGCGCCUGAGAUUUAGCAAAACCGAAUACUCCAUAGCCCAAGGGUGCAGAUGACGAGUCACACUUCCACAUAGGAUAGCUCCAGCAUCCAGAUGAGCACACGCGAACGAUCGUCACGAUGAAUGCUUUGCUCCUCUACAGUAGAAGAUUAGCUCUCAGAUCAGUCUGGUCACAGCAACCUCCAGUUCCUAGGCAAAGUAUCCAAAACAGCAAGCAACUAGAAACGAACUGAACUGAAAUGAACGAAACUAACGAAGGAAACACCACAUACGCUAUAGAGCAUGCAAAAUACAUGGAGCCAUGGAGAUUGCGUCUCACCUUCUCAAGUCGUUGGAGCAGAGCCGUCUUAAACUGCCAGACUCCGCGACCGAUAGAAGUAGAUACAUACAUCAUCACAAGCACAGGAAAUAGACAGAAGCAGCCACCAGUCAAAAGUGUCCAGAGACAUGCCUAAGUAAUGCAUUUGAUUGAAAGACACUACUAAUACUACAUUUGAUUACAAGGGCGUCGUGAAUAUUCUAUGCGAGCUAAAGGGCUAUCAGAACAUCAAUUAGGUACAGCCGAUGAUAGGCACCCAUUUCAGGGACCAAUGUUACUACAAGUCAUUUCUUCUUACAGACCAGGCACCCUUCCAAGGCAAGAUGGUCCUAUAUUCAGAAAUUGGAUACAGCGUGUGGACGGGCCAUCCUAUAUCUUCUGCUUCAAUGCUUGGCGCAGCUGGACCUUGCGGCCGUCGAAUCUCGAAUCCAGAGGCUUUGACUUCAGGCUCUGCUUCUUCGCGCCCUGGGGCCAUUCGAUGCGACCUUUCAUCGCGCGGACCACGUGAGGGUUCACCAGCUCCGGGCUCCACUCGCCCACGCUCGGCGAAACCGUGCACACCUCGCUGCCCUUCAGAGUGGGCGAAAGAGCGGAGUUCGACAUUCUGCCACUUGAGAGCAUCCCGUUCAGUAACUCUGAUCCUGUUUUCUUGCGGCCAUUGUCGUUGUUUGAUGAUCUCCAGAGUCUGGCGAAAGAAGGCCCUCUCUUCCGGUACUUCUCUGCUGUGGUCGAACAUACUUCGCUGAUACCGCUAAUGGACCUGCAGUUUUCAGAAUUGUCAUCGCAGUCCGUUCCACUCACCGAUGCGCCGUCUCCUCCACAGAAGCCGUUCACUGAUGGUUCACUCCCACCUGGUGAGUUGCUCGAGCCGUGCUCAUCGACAUGGCUGACAGUCUCCCAUCCGCUGUCAUCUUCCUCUUCGUUUCUGGCACAGGGUUGAUGGGGAUACCUCUUCGAUGGUUUUUCCAGGAAGAUGUCAUUUUCAGGACUAACUGUGUGGAUAUUUGUUGCAUGACCGAUGGGGAUAUCUCCGUUACACUGCCCAAUCUCCUUCUCCUCGGUGUCUUCCCUCUGUCUGAGCUCCUCAAAUACAGCAAAAAUAUCCUCUGAAGCAGGUGGCGGUUUGUAAGAGAACUCCUUAAUAUCAUGAAACUUCAUCGAGCAAAUUGCUUCCCUUAGCCUUUCUGCAUCUCUUACCAUCUCUUUAUCUGCAGUAUUGCCUCCAUGGGAACUGAGGAAAGCCUCAACCUCAGACUGAAGGUCGCUCAGCUGUGAAUACUUGCUGUCUAGUGUCAGCUUUGCAUCAACGAGCUUCAUCUGAACCCUCUCUUCGCGCCAAACCUCCGCCAUCUGCAGCAUCUUCCUUUCUUCCUCCAGCUCAUCUCUCAUCUUCAUAGAUUCACUCUUCAGAGCCUCAACCUCAGCUUUGUCUUCGGCAAUCUCCUUUGCUAAUUCAUCACACACCUCCUCCAUAAGCUCCCUGGCCUUCCUCUCCUUUUCAUAAUCUUGCAAGUAUCGCUUUGCCACCAACUUCAACUCGGAUACCUCAGUGGCCAACUUGGAAUUCAUAAUUUCUGCCCUUUGUCGGUUCUUCCUCUCCCGGUUCAGACUCUCUUUAACACCAUCGAAGAUGUCUCGAACCUUAUCAUGCUCCCUGCUCUUCCAGGAAGCCUUUUCCUCAGAAAGGCUCCUUAACAUGUGAUCAAGCUUCUUCUUUGCAGACCGACUCUCAGCUUCAAGCUCAUGAAUCCGGUUGUGAGCCUGCAUAAGCUCUGCUCUUAGUGCAGAGAUUUCUGCAUCAGCACUCACUGGAUAAUGAUCAAAGGAAUCACAGUCAGCAUCCCUUGACGUGUUCAAGCCACGCCGGUCCCACUUGGUUGCCACCUCCAUUUCGAUUCGAGGUGAUGGAGAGUAAGCUCCCACCUAAUUUAGGAUCAAAAUCAUUCUCAUUAAUAAAACAAGAUGAGAAAAGAAAAUGGUGAACUGUACUCUAAGUAAUAAUUCGUGAACAAGGAAUAUACCUCAUGAAUGCUGCCGUUGCCAAGAGGCUUUCUUCCUGACCUGCCUUCCAGGACAGCUUUGUAGUAAUUGCACCGAUCCGGCGUAUGCAGAGGCUUCGGGUUAGGCUGCAAAUUAUUUCUUUUAGCUCAUCACCAACACUUCAAAACCACAUAUUAAUACUCCCUCCGUCCCAAAAUAAGUGUCACUGAUUUAGUACAAAGUUAUACUAAGUAGGCAACACUUAUUUUGGGACAGGGGGAGUAGCAUCUUACAAAAUCUACAUGUCAAAUGGAGAAAAAAAUGUUCAAAGCCAACCAUUGGAUGGUCAGCAUUGCAGAUAUAUAACACUAACAGCAAUAUAUAGGGACCACAAGGACCCUAAUUAGAGGGUAGAUAAUAAUGGAAACAUGGAGAUGUGACAUCCCUGGGCCCGAUUAAUGGAGAUACAGCGAACACUAAGCAAUCUAGGACGGCAAUGAUCAGCAAUUGGAUCAACAAAGGACAUGGACAUGCUCAAAUCUAACAUAAAACCUGACAUGAUGGUGGUACCAAAUUGACGCGGAAACAUGGACCCUGCUACCUCUCCCUAAACCAAAAUUUACCCAGCGAAGUAGAUGCACAGCUUGCUACGCAUUAUGACGCAGUAAGCAAAAUGGGGCGAAUCGUGGGUUGGAAGUCCAAGUCAGUAAGCAACAUUUAUGCUAGAUAGUCAAAUUCCACCUCCAACUAAAAAUGUUCUGCCGUCCCUUCGUCCCUCGAAUUGGCAGACACAAUGCGCUGAGACAGCAACAUUGUGAGAAAAUUCGCACCCAUCUCGCCGAAUUCCCUCCACCCAUUGGAUGCGCAGACACAGUAGCUUUCAGAACAAACAGCCCAAAACCUGUAGAGAAAAUACCAGGCUGGACCUCCUGAAGAAGGACGAAAACAAAGGAUCACAGAGCACGAAACCACCUAAAUUCUAACCAGUUCGUCGCCGGUUGCAUCCCACCAGAGGACGGCCACAGCAAAACCCUAGAACGCCACAGCAGCACAGCACAGACGCACGCGACCACGGGGGAAGAAGAUCCACGCUGAUCUGGGAGACAAAUCCCUACCUGCGGCCGUCGCCGCGGUUCCUCGGGCACCUCCCGCGGCGGCGCCUGCGGCGGGUGGACCCUCCAGAGCGCCGCGGCGAUCUUCCUCACGGAGGCGACGCGCGCGACGGCGUCCCCGGGCCAGCGGAGCGGCGGGGUGGCGGGCGGGGCGGCCGCCACGCGGCGCGCGGACGCGGCCAGAGAGGGGCUCUGCACGCGCAGCCGGCGGCGGGGGCGGGGGCGGGAGGCCGCUGGGCCCGGGGAAGCCGCAGCGACCGCGGCCGGCUCCCUCGAUCUGGGCGGCGAGGACUUGGCCUGCGGCGUGCGGGGGCGGCGGGAGCGCGCCAUUGUGCGCGGGCUCGCUCGGUCGGUCGCUCAGAGCGCGUCGGCGGCGGGCGGGGGCGGUGGCAUUCGCCGGGGAUGCGGCGCGGGCGGUGGGGGAGGGAGGGGGGGUGCGCGUGCGGGUCUGCGGGCGAGAUCCAGUACCGGUGCCGCGGCAGGGGACGCGGUGGGGUGCGUGUGUGUGUGCCCAGAGCCCAGUGGUGGUUUUGAUACGACUGGUGCUAGUGCUACGAGUAGUACUACUAGUAGUAGGGGUAGCUGCGUAGGCUCGUGAUGGAGGCUGGGGAACGUGGGAUGGGGGAAAAGGGGAGGGGAAAGGGAGAUGGAUGGAAUGCAAUGGAAGGAUUUGUUUGGCUUUGUUUUUCUCCUCUUGUGGAUUUGGUAUUUUGGACUUUUGGAAUUUGUGGCUUUGUGAAUUGUGGUGGUGAAAAUGUUUUGGGUUGAGUUGAAAAUGGAACGGUUUGAGCUGUUUGAAUGAAAAAUGCACUAGUGAUUUAGAGUUUGAUGGAGUCUCCACGGCGAGUUGCGUUUGUGUGAGAGUAUAUACCUCCAAGUUUUCGAACAAAAAGUUUUUUUUAUAAAAACAUUAUAUGUAACAAGAACACUUGAUAAAAUGUGUAUGAAUGUGACUUUUCGUGUGCUAAGAAAGAGAAAGGAAAGAGGCGAGGGGUUAUCGUAGCAAGCAUGCAUACAAAAAUAUUCGGAAAAAAAACUAUGCAUAUAUAUAUGGUAUUUUUACUUCGUGGAGGCGUGCGCCCAGCUAAUUGCAUUCUUUCGCAUUAGCUAAUCAUCAAGUAUCUUGGAGAAGAAGAAAUGUGUGUCAGUUACCUUUUCCGCUUAGCCGAAAGUGAGGAUGGCAUGAGCAACAGCAGGCACCCCGAGCGGCAACCGGCGAUAGCCGGCGGGANNNNNNNNNNNNNNNNNNNNNNNNNNNNNNNNNNNNNNNNNNNNNNNNNNNNNNNNNNNNNNNNNNNNNNNNNNNNNNNNNNNNNNNNNNNNNNNNNNNNNNNNNNNNNNNNNNNNNNNNNNNNGGGGGGGCACUGGAGUUGUUACAAGUCAAAGGGCUUAGAGGGAUGGUCGAGGUGGUGGCCAGCACGAGGUUGGGGGGAGGUCGAGGGAAGGGAGACCGGGGCGCAACAGUGCCCGCCGGCCGGGAGGCAGAGGCGGAUAGUUAAGGCUAGGUAGGUCGUGGGGUGGAAGACGAACCGUCACACGCGGAGGAAGAAGUACAGUUCACGCACAAUGGCCAUUGAAUAUUGAUCGGACGGGCAUGAGAAAAGUAACAGGCGAGGCAGCCAGCCCACCAGUGUUCGAGUCUCGGCUUGAGCAUUUGGUGCUCACGGAGUUUUCUUCUAUAAAAAAAUUGUCAACAUACUAGUCUAGCCCGGGUUAGUCUCUUUUUUAGAAAAGUGAUAGAUGUAGAAACAAAUCAAGUACGCGCUCUCCAUUUUUCUCCUUCGUCGGUGUGCGUGCAAUAAUCUGAAAACUACUUUUCCUAUGAGAAUACAAACAUCGAAUUUUCUGUCUGAUGUUUUUUUUUUGAAUUUUUAACUGGGGGAGGAGGGGGGCCCCUCAACCACCUGAAUAUAUUCCAUCGAAUUUGCCUAGAAGACUCGCAGCUCCAUACAAGAUAGGUUCAAGUGAACCAGAAUAGACGGGGGAAACAAGAGGAGACACAACCAAAACACACACACACACACACACGUGCACACAUCCAGCCGAAUCUCCGGAAGACCCACCGAGGAAAGGGUAGAAGAAGGCCUUUCAAAGAUCCGAAGCCGGACGCACCAACACCACCGACCGCCAUUCCAAAUAUCAUCAGCACAACCAGCAAGGAGGAGGACCUCAACUUACACCUUCAUUUGACCAAGCAAGGAGAAGAGCCUUGAACGUUGGCCGGCUGGUUGCCACCCAACAGCACCCCGCAGAGGUAGAGGUGCCAUAUGGGAACGAGGUGAUCCAUUGAGUAGGAUAACGACCCCGCUAACCCGGCUUCGGAUGAAAAUCAGACCCAUUCCGGCGCAUGGCUGAGCCACGAUCUCGCAGACAGAGUACCACCUCCUCACCAACAAGGCACACACCACCGUCGACCCCAAAUUGGCCGCACCACCACCACCAUCGAACUCACAGCAAGCAUCCCCCACAUAGACGAACCGAGCCGAACCUAGAUGAUGCCUUCAAGAAGGGAUGCGACACAAAAUGCGCCGCCAUCACCUGUUCCAGGAGAACCUGGAACAUGGGUUUCCACGGGUUUUCGGAGGAGCACUCACCAUGACAGCGCCGCCUCCACGGAGGUACACGGCACCCGCAGGCGUCGCCAUCGCCGGCUCCGGCAGGAGCAGAGCUUUCGCCCAAGUGAGAAUACCACCUCCUAGAAGCAUGGACAGGUCGUGGAGCACUGCCCCCUGCACAUUGCCACAGAGAAGGGUCACUGCAGCCCAGCCGUGAAGGAAAUAUGCCCUAGAGGCAAUAAUAAAGUUAUUAUUUAUUUCCUUAUAUCAUGAUAAAUGUUUAUUAUUCAUGCUAGAAUUGUAUUAACCGGAAACAUAAUACAUGUGUGAAUACAUAGACAAACAGAGUGUCACUAGUAUGCCUCUACUUGACUAGCUCGUUAAUCAAAGAUGGUUUUGUUUCCUAACCAUGAACAAAGAGUUGUUAUUUGAUUAACGGGAUCACAUCAUUAGGUUAAUGAUCUGAUUGACAUGACCCAUUCCAUUAGCUUAGCACCCGAUCGUUUAGUAUGUUGCUAUUGCUUUCUUCAUGACUUAUACAUGUUCAUAUGACUAUGAGAUUAUGCAACUCCCGUUUGCCGGAGGAACACUUUGUGUGCUACCAAACGUCACAACGUAAAUGGGUGAUUAUAAAGGUGCUCUACAGGUGUCUCCAAAGGUACAUGUUGGGUUGGCGUAUUUCGAGAUUAGGAUUUGUCACUCCGAUUGUCAGAGAGGUAUCUCUGGGCCCUCUCGGUAAUGCACAUUACAUAAGCCUUGCAAGCAUUGCAACUAAUGAGUUAGUUGCGAAAUGAUGUAUUACGGAACGAGUAAAGAGACUUGCCGGUAACGAGAUUGAGCUAGGUAUUGAGAUACCGACGAUCGAAUCUCGGGCAAGUAACAUACCGAUGACAAAGGGAACAACGUAUGUUGUUAUGCGGUCUGACCGAUAAAGAUCUUCGUAGAAUAUGUAGGAGCCAAUAUGGGCAUCCAGGUCCCGCUAUUGGUUAUUGACCGGAGACGUGUCUCGGUCAUGUCUACAUUGUUCUCGAACCGUAGGGUCCGCACGCUUAACGUUACGAUGACAAUUUCAUUAUGAGUUUAUACAUUUUGAUGUACCGAAGUUUGUUCGGAGUCCCGGAUGUGAUCAUGGACAUGACGAGGAGUCUCGAAAUGGUCGANNNNNNNNNNNNNNNNNNNNNNNNNNNNNNNNNNNNNNNNNNNNNNNNNNNNNNNNNNNNNNNNNNNNNNNNNNNNNNNNNNNNNNNNNNNNNNNNNNNNNNNNNNNNNNNNNNNNNNNNNNNNNNNNNNNNNNNNNNNNNNNNNNNNNNNNNNNNNNNNNNNNNNNNNNNNNNNNNNNNNNNNNNNNNNNNNNNNNNNNNNNNNNNNNNNNNNNNNNNNNNNNNNNNNNNNNNNNNNNNNNNNNNNNNNNNNNNNNNNNNNNNNNNNNNNNNNNNNNNNNNNNNNNNNNNNNNNNNNNNNNNNNNNNNNNNNNNNNNNNNNNNNNNNNNNNNNNNNNNNNNNNNNNNNNNNNNNNNNNNNNNNNNNNNNNNNNNNNNNNNNNNNNNNNNNNNNNNNNNNNNNNNNNNNNNNNNNNNNNNNNNNNNNNNNNNNNNNNNNNNNNNNNNNNNNNNNNNNNNNNNNNNNNNNNNNNNNNNNNNNNNNNNNNNNNNNNNNNNNNNNNNNNNNNNNNNNNNNNNNNNNNNNNNNNNNNNNNNNNNNNNNNNNNNNNNNNNNNNNNNNNNNNNNNNNNNNNNNNNNNNNNNNNNNNNNNNNNNNNNNNUCCUUUCCCUCUUCCUCCUCUUUCCCCUUCUCCUUAUCCAACUAGGAAAGAAGGGAGUCCUACUCCCAGUGGGAGUAGGACUCCCCCUUGGCACGCCCCUCCUUGGCCGGCCGCCCCCUCCCCUUGGCUUCUUUAUAUACGGGGGCAGGGGGGCACCCUAGGACACACAAGUUGAUCUUCGUGAUCGUUUCCUUAGCCGUGUGCGGUGCCCCCCUCCACGAUAUUACACCUCGGUCAUAUUGUAGCAGUGCUUAGGCGAAGCCCUGCGACGGUUGAACAUCAAGAUCAUCACCACGCCGUCGUGCUGACGGAACUCAUCCCCGAAGCUUUGCUGGAUCGGAGCCCGGGGAUCGUUAUCGAGCCGAACGUGUGCCAAGAACUCGGAGGUGCCGGAGUAACGGUGCUUGGAUCGGUCGGACCGUGAAGACGUACGACUACAUCAACCACGUUGUGCUAACGCUUCCGUUGUCGAUCUACAAGGGUACGUAGAUCACACUCUCCCCUCUCGUUGCUAUGCACCACCAUGAUCUUGCGUGUGCGUAGGAAAUUUUUUGAAAUUACUACAUUCCCCAACAAGCCGCGCACACAUGACCGGAUCCGGUCCACCGCGGGCCAGAUCCGGCAGGAUCCAACAUGCCUCGCCCGCCCCCCAUCGGAUCGAAGCCAAAUCCGCGGCCGGCAGGCACGUCGCCCAUGCAAGGGGCGAGCACCACCACCCCGCGCCUCACAGAGCACCUCCGCCGGACCCCCAACCGAAACCAGCAGAUCCCCGACGCCCCCGAAGCACCGGGUGCCAACACAGCGAGGAGUCGCCGGUUCGAGGGAGGCCAGCGGGAGGGAGCCGCAAGCGCACCCAUCCCCACCGUCCCUGAUGCGUCUCCAACGUAUCUAUAAUUUUUGAUUGCUCCAUGCUAUAUUAUCUACUGUUUUGGACAUUAUUGGGCUUUAUUAUCCACUUUUAUAUUAUUUUUGGGACUAACCUAUUAACCGGAGGCCCAGCCCAGAAUUGUUGUUUUUUGCGUGUUUUAGGGUUUCGAAGAAAAGGAUUAUCAAACGGAGUCUAAACGGAAUGAAACCUUCGAGAAUGUGAUUUUCUCAACGAACAAGGCCCAGUAGACUUAGACCCUACGUCAAGACACAAAAGAGGAGGCCACGAGGUAGGGGCGCGCCUACCCCCCCCCCCCCCAGGCGCGCCCUCCACCCUCGUGGGCCCCAUGUUGCUCCACCGACGUACUCCUUCCUCCUAUAUAUACCUACGUACCCCCAAACGAUCAGAAACAGAGCCAAAAACCUAAUUCCACCGCCGCAACUUUCUGUAUCCACGAGAUCCCAUCUUGGGGCCUGUUCCGGAGCUCCACCGAAGGGGGCAUCAAUCACAGAGGGCUUCUACAUCAACACCAUAGCCCCUCCGAUGAAGUGUGAGUAGUUUACCUCAGACCUACGGGUCCAUAGUUAUUAGCUAGAUGACUUCUUCUCUCUUUUGAAUCACAAUACAAUGUUCUCCCCCUCUCUUAGUGGAGAACUAUUCGAUGUAAUCAUCUUUUUUGCGGUGUGUUUGUUGAGACCGAUGAAUUGUGAGUUUAUGAUCAAGUCUAUCUAUGAACAAUAUUUGAAUCUUCUCUGAAUUCUUUUAUGUAUGAUUGGUUAUCUUUGCAAGUCUCUUCGAAUUAUCAGUUUGGUUUGGCCUACUAGAUUGAUCUUUCUUGCAAUGGGAGAAGUGCUUAACUUUGGGUUCAAUCUUGCGGUGUCCUUUCCCAGUGACAGUAGGGGCAGCAAGGCACGUAUUAUAUUGUUGCCAUCGAGGAUAACAAGAUGGGGUUUUCAUCAUAUUGCAUGAGUCUAUCUCUCUACAUCAUGUCAUCUUGCUUAAGGCAUUACUCUGUUUUUAACUUAAUACUCUAGAUGCAUGUUGGAUAGCGGUCGAUGAGUGGAGUAAUAGUAUUAGAUGCAGGCAGGAGUCGGUCUACUUGUCUCGGACGUGAUGCCUAUACUUACAUAUUAUCAUAACUAUGGUCAAUUCUGUCAAUUGCUCAACAGUAAUUUGUUCACCCACCGUAGAAUACUUAUGCUCUCGAGAGAACCCACUAGUGAAACCUAUGGCCCCCUGGUCUAUCUUCAUCAUAUUAACCUCCUACUACUUAGUUAUUUACUUUGCUUUUUACCUUGCCUUUAUUUUACUUUGCAUCUUUAUCACAAAAAUGUCAAAAAUAUUAUCUUAUCAUAUCUAUCAGAUCUCACUCUCGUAAGUGGUCGUGUAGGGAUUGACAACCCCUAUUCGCGUUGGUUGCGAGAAUUUAUUUGUUUUGUGCAGGUACGAGGGAUUCGCGCGUAGCCUCCUACUGGAUUGAUAUCUUGGUUCUCAAAAAUUGAGGGAAAUACUUACGCUACUUUGUUGCAUCAUCCCUUCCUCUUCGGGGAAAACCAACGCAAUGCUUAAGAGGUAGCAGUCCCCGGCCACCGCGAUCGAAGAAGUGACGCGCGCUGGAGUCACGCCGCGCCGCCCGCGCCACACAGAGCUCCCCGGGCUCGUGGGCGCUCUGCGCAAAGAACGACGCCCCGCCGCCGCCAGAUCUGAGCGGGCUUUGCCCGGCAGGAGCUUUGGGCGGCGGCGGGAGGGAGAGNNNNNNNNNNNNNNNNNNNNNNNNNNNNNNNNNNNNNNNNNNNNNNNNNNNNNNNNNNNNNNNNNNNNNNNNNNNNNNNNNNNNNNNNNNNNNNNNNNNNNNNNNNNNNNNNNNNNNNNNNNNNNNNNNNNNNNNNNNNNNNNNNNNNNNNNNNNNNNNNNNNNNNNNNNNNNGGAGGGAGAGGGAGUAGCGGGAGGGGGGGGGGGGGUCGGCCGGGGGGAGGGGUCGCCUCCCUGGGGAGGACGGCGCGGGGACUCUCCUUCUGUCUGAUGUUAAUUUCAGUUUGGUUAUACGCGGUUAAUAUGGGCAAGGGAGGUCAUAUUAUCAUUUAUUUUACACAGAAACGGGAAACCAAAAGUGGACAGCUUCAAUGAGAACGCCGCCGUACGUGCUCCGUGGACCACAUCACACUAUGAGGAUGUCGCUGGAAAAGAUAGUUCGAGUGGUGGCCGGCGAAGACCCAUGGAUCCAAAAGGGGCAGGAGGGCCGUAGUUCAUCGAGAAUCUCCGUGCACCACCCACGCCGGAGACGUUGAUGAUGGUCGGCCAGGACCUGGUAGGGAGAGUGUCGGGCGGUGCUAAUCCUUGAGAGAACGACAUGCGCCGCCUACACGUUAAUUAGACCAGCACGCGUGACCGACACUUUAAAUUCUAGCGUGCCAUCGUCGGUAGAUCCAUUUUUAGAUGCUCAGCGUUGGUAAAUCUUUCAUACUACUUACUUUCUCGGAUCCAAAUUAAUUGCAAAUAGAGGCCGUGUCAGUUAAUUCGGCUGGGAGGGACUACUAGUACUUUUUCUGCCUGCGAAAAGCCUGAUAUGGACUGGUAUAUGAACGAAAUUAGCUCAAGUCGAAAGGGGAUUAUUUGGUUAUGGGCGCAUGAAUGGCACGAUGGUGCAUGUACACGUGGUGGUACAAUACAAAUACACCCAUGCACGGACUCGUUCCAUGAAUCUGCGUGGUCCUCCGCAUCUUUGCUGCCGAGGCAUCCUUCCUACUACUACGUGCGUAUAUACAGUAAAAGCUCGCAUGUACCAACAGAUCAUAAAAGAUAAUUUAGGGCGUGUUCAGUUCAGUAGGCAGUAUCCCUUCGCUUUUUUUAUGACAAGUAUUUUCGGACGGAAGAAGUAGGUACUAGUACUAAAACUUCUCCCGUUCCGUAUUCGGUGGGUGACCUUGUCUCAGCAAUUCUCUGAUGUGGAGGGAUUGCACUGUAGCUAGUAUUCAUACCAUGAUACCAGUACCCUACAAGAGAAACAGUGUCCAACUUUCGAAUGCCUCUCGCGUGGUACGGUCGUAGAGCAUAACACCACCCAACGUACCCAACGUAGUACUGCAAGAUACUCCUAUACGAGUAGAGAAGAACUAGCCGUAAAACCACAACGUGGCACAUGGUCUCCCCUCUCCCUCCGGCCCUCGAUCGAUCCCGGAUACGAUGCUCCCAUGCAUAUCAACCUCCGAAUCAUAACCAGACCGACGUGCGGAGCACCUACACUACGCCGCCGGUCACGGAGUUCACGCAUGGCCGGCGUGCCGUGCCUGCCUCUUUCUAGGCCUUUAAUUGGAGGGAGCGCUCACAUGAAACUUCGCAUAAAUGCUGACGGCCAUACCGGAAAGGAAAGGAGUCUACCAACCGAUGCAAAAUAAGGAUAUCUUGGGGAUUUUGUCAUAUCUUUGCGUCUCAAAGUCUUGCCAUGUUUGUAAGUCUUGCAAUGUUCUCGGAAGAUUAUGAUGUUACAAUCUACCAACCGACUAGUAGCCCAACUAUAGCUAGUCCAUUAGGCUGGUUGAAAACUAGUUUAGCAUCUCGUGUUUGCUUGUUUACGGUAAAUAAUUACAAUGGUUUUGUCUUUCCACAGUCCAUCGAGAAAUGAUUUAAAUAAGUCACCGCUAAGGACCGUAUAGGCUAAACAAAAGAUUCGUGUCUACAUCGGCACACACGGAAAGACCAUCCAUUUCCUGCGAGAAUAAAGAGGGUUCCAAAACGUGUAUCGUAGGUGCACAAGUCUUGAUUUAUGAAAGCAACAAUAUAAUGGGAAAUACCCAAUGGAACCUAGGUCUUAGGCGCAUCCACAUUGAAAAAAUAUUCUAUAAAAAUUCAAACAGUUCUGAUUUUUUUAAUGAACAUGGUCUAGUGUUAUAUAUUCACUGUAAAGUUUCAUGAAGAAAUGACUUUGAUCUUCUAUGCAAAGAAAGGAAAACAAUUCUAUACAAAAGUUACUAUUCAAGUUUUUUGAAGUUAAUUAUUUCUUCACAAGAAAACAGAAAUCAUUUCUUUGCGCAAAUUCCAUACGUGAGUAGAACAUUCGACCAUGUUCGGCAACAUUUUUUUUCAAACUGGUUGAUUUUUUUUUGGUAUUUUCUAAAAUCGAAAUGCUUUAGCAGGUGCAUCUAGAACCGUAUUGCAAAAAUCCGCACCACGGUAUAAGAACCGUCAUUCAUAGGAAAUCUCAUGAGAUUAAUUUGGGGAUUUUAGAUGUUACUGAUAUAUGUUUUAUACACUUGAUCAAACAUAUAUAGACAUGAAUGGAUUAAUUAAUUUGAAACAAGCCCGUCCUAACUCGAACCGAAAAAAAAAAAGAAACAGACCCGCCACUUCAGUUAUUUUUUUUGAACCGAAGGUAGUGCUCGCGCUGACGAAUGGUUACGCUUCCGCCAGUACAACAUUAUCGUGGGUGACGAAAUUGAAGGC
rnacentral:lncRNA from 1 species